ACUGGCCUACUAAGUCUCAAUA
rnacentral:miRNA from 15 species